UAUUCUCUCUUCUCAUGCUCUCCCAUCUAAAUACAUAACGUUAGCUAAGCCCGUCUGAAUAGAUUUGAUUAGCCAACAGUAUAGCUAGCUGACAGAGCCCCCAAUAGUAAAGCGUCAGGCCAAUAUUUUCAGAGAUUAUAGAUUAUUAUAGCUCCAGUGAAGUCAGGUGGGUAACGCACAUCAAAUCACUAGCCCAUUUGGUGGGUUAUGAUUCAUAAAUUAUGACCGUAUGCACACUCAAGUCUAUUCGUGGCACCCAACAGCUGUUCAAAAUCAUGCCGCGCCACGUAACGUUACAGUUUGCCAUUCAAAGUUUUCUAAAAUACAACGAUUUGGGACCGAUGUCUGUACAUUCUGACUUCACCCUAGUCUACAAGACUGUGUAUUGUGCAUUUUAAUAACAGGAAGAAGAUUUGGUGUUGAUGGAGGAGGCAACAUCUUCAAGGCAAAACCUUAGACCUCAUUCAACAUCAUCCAUGUUGCAAUCCCCCUCAGGAGGCACUUGAAGCCCAGU